rnacentral:misc_RNA from 1 species
UCACCCCUCAACCCCCCACUUAUGUGUGUGGUGUUUGGAUAUGGAAGUUUUGCAGGCCUCUCGAGGUCAGCUCUUCUUAAAUGUAUUAGUGGUGUCCAUUACUACUGCAGGUGUGAUAAAUCAUUUAUGCCUUUGCUGGUGGUAUUGCAUUGCUUGAAAAACCAAAUUUAUGACAA